CCAAGGAGGGGGCCCAGAGAAAGCCAAAAUGCACCAGAAGAGGAAAGAAGCAAAAGAUCCAGCCCUCUGCAUGGAAGACAUGAUAUCCUGUCCUCAGCACAGGCAUGGUUGACCGCAGGAAGACUGACCCACGAUCUAGAGGAACAGACGUGUGACCCAGGAGCAAGAUCUGUAUUUCCUGUUCUACAACAAGAUGCUCUGUUGGCUUAGAAGUUUGGGUUCUCGAGCAGGAAUUGCUUGAGCAGAAGUCACAACAGUGAUCCCAUUGAACUGGAAGUUAAGACUUUCCUCUAGCCACUUCUGGAUUCUCAAGCCCCCGAGUCAACAUGAUGAGAAAGAAGUUAUAGUAUUCAUAGGUAUGACUGGUCUGGGCUUCCAGAGUGAAACUGCAUGAUCAAUCCACAACAGAUAGAGGACAAGCACGUGUGUGGUGCAGCAGAUCCCUUAGUUCACCCCUCAGUAUUACCAUGCUAAAGUCGGUGGGAAAUGGCAGCAGCCUCAUCUAGGCAGGAUGAUCAAUGGACUUGCCAAGAAUGAAGGUGUGAUUCAUUGCUCCAAGCAAAGACCCAAGACCUGCUGAAGUGCUUGCUGAGGGUAUGUCAUGGUUUGUUGUUAUUCUUGCUGUUGUUUUGUCAACCUGACACGAACUACAGUCAUUGGAGAGGAAGCGACUUCAGUUGAUAAAAUGCCUCACCAGAUUGGUCUGUUGGGUGUGGGCAAGCCUGUGAGGCAUGUUCUUGAUUAAUAAUUGCCAUGAGAGGCUUCAGCUCUUUGUGUGGCACUCCCCCUGGGCAAGGAGUCCUGAGUUGCAUAAGA